UGUGUGCCCUUAUUAUGGUUGGGAUUUUUUAGAUCAGCAGUUAUUGCUAUAUAGCCAUAUUUAUAAAUCUUCUACUGGCCUACUAAGUCCCAACAUAAUGAGAGUAAA
rnacentral:pre_miRNA from 1 species